rnacentral:lncRNA from 1 species
GUGCUGCAACAUGGCCUCCUCCUCCUUCCCCUCGCGUCCCGCGGCACGGGGCGGUAGGGACCAGAACUCUGGCUGCCCUUGGAGUGCCAAAUGCCUCUUACAAGCUGACAUCAGGAGCCUGGAGGGGUGAGUUUUGUUUCCCAUGGGAAAGGGCCACUGUUCAUGUCCGGGGGCCUGUGUAUAGGAGUGGGCUUCUGCCUCCAAAAAUUACAAAUCUGGAAGAUUAAAGUUGCCCCCACCUAGAACUCUGGUUGCCCUUCAAGUGCCAAAUGCCUCUGACAAGCUGACAUCAGGAGCCCGGGGGGGGCGGUGAUGACGCAGUGCUGGAUUUUCCCCAGGCAGCUCCCAGCAGCGGGCCAAGAGCGGGCUGUUCCCAGAAAGCAGUGCAGUCCAGGGUAC